GCCUGGGUGGCUCAGUCGGCUAAGCGUCGGACUUCAGCUCAGGUCCUGAUCUCACGGUUCGUGGGAUCGAGCCCCACCUCGGGCU
rnacentral:tRNA from 1 species